GUGAGAGUAGAGCCUGGAUGAAAUAAUAUUAUUAAAUAGCUUUUCAAGUACAGACAUUGAAAAGCUACAAGCUGGAAAGGGGGCCAAAACUAACUUUUUUUUUCUUGCGUGACUUACCAUAUGCCAAAUUCCAGACUGCAGAGUUUACAUUUGUUACUGCAUUUAAUCCCCAUUACAACCCUCUGAGGUUGCUAUGAUUCCCACUUCACAGAUAAGGCAACAGGCCGAGACACCAAGCCAAACAGAAGGGAUGGGCUGGUGUCUGUCUGACUCCAACACCAAUGGUCUUUUCUCUAUAACCUAAAGCAGUAAAAUCCCCACAGCAUCUACCUUAUUACAGAAAUUAUAAGAUUCACAGGUUCAAUAUAUCCCCCCCGACACCACCACCAAUAUUACAGCUGCACAAUGGCAGUCCUCACUGAGGAAUUAAUCCAGCCCAGGGAGACAGACAUGUGAGCAGCUAAGUAUAAUGUUGAAUGCUAAAGGCUCUUUGUGUAGCAAGAACAAAACUCUGGCAGAGCACAGAGGAGUGUUUCUUUCUGUUGGAAUCAGGGAAGGAAUAAAGAAAGCCUGGGGCCUUUUACAGAAGAGGAAAGCUGGGUGCAGCUCCCUAGUGUUAUCUGGUGGAAAGGUCUGGGAAGAGCAUUCAUGUUGGAUGUUGGCUGGAGCAAAGGAAUCCAAGGUAUGGAGACUAAUUGGAGAAGGAAAUUGAGGAAGAAGUGGACUGAGAGAUGACUACAGAUGGAGAGGCAGCAUGGCUAGAGAUCUUAUUAAAAGGUGAGAGUAGGCACAGUAAACACAAAGGGGUGGAAGACAUGGAAGGAUAAGACGUCAUGGUCAGAGCAUGCAUCUUGAGUUAAAGGUUUUGGAGAUGCAACCAUUUCAGAGGAGGACAAAACCAGAGUGUGGCCAUAGGUGUGAGCAGCUGUGAAUGUCACUCUGAAGCUUGACUGUUGGACAUGUCAUCCUCAUAGACACAGAAGUCAGGAUGAUGGCAGGUCUUGGGGUGAAGGGGAGGACCUGGAGCCAAGCCCUACAGUCUUCCAUGAGCGAGGAAAAUGACACUUAUAAGGACUAUGGCAGGAAGGUGUGGGUUUCCAAGAAGCAGCGUU
rnacentral:lncRNA from 1 species